GUGCAAACUUCAUCUAGCAGCACUGUCACCAUUUCUUUGAUAAUUCCACUACUUUUGGUGAAAACAUCUGAUGGAUUUUUGUUCUUCUUCAAUCGCUGAUGCAUCAAAAGAUGAAUUAGCUGGUAUGAAUAACAUCCAACCAGUACCUCAGCGUAUAGAACCUUCGACGUCAUCCAAUACGCAAUAGCAACCACUCAUUUAACCCUUUUGAACAUCAUCAAACAGAUUGAGGUCGUCACUAUCUCGAGCGACCAAAUGCUUCACCAGAUUGUUCACCUUUGGACUAUUGGAAGAGCAAUGAUUCGAUGCCUCUCUGCUUCUGUGCCAGUCGAUACAUUUGGAUACCAGCUACUUCCACAGAGUUGGAGAGAACGUUUAUCAGAUAGAAGAGCAGCACUAAAGGC